rnacentral:rRNA from 1 species
CCUAUGACCCAAGUCACCCGGAAUGCACCUGGUCUCACCAGAUCUCGAAAGCCAUGCAGGGUUGAGCCAGGAUAGUACUUGAAUAGGUGAUCACCAUGCACAGCAGAUUGCUCAUGGCU